AAAACCUAUUUAUUUUGGCGGCAUUUAUCUUAUUAAAGGAACUUGUUAAUUAAUCGAUAACCCACGAUAAAUUUCACUACGAUUAUAUAAUUUAUAUAAUUUAUAUACCGCCGUCUAAAGAAUCAAUUUCAAUAGAUUAUUCUUAAUAAUCUUAACCUAAAAAGUUAGGUCAAGGUGUAAUUUAUAUUUUAGUAAAAAAUGAGUUACAAUAAAAACUAUUUAAGGAUCAUUUACUCAAAAUAAAAUAAGAAAAAGGAUUUAUAUGUAAUANUAAAAUAAUAAUUUAAUAUGAAUUAGAAAA
rnacentral:rRNA from 1 species